rnacentral:rRNA from 1 species
GUCACUGACGAGUUUGAUCCUGGCUCAGAACGAACGCUGGCGGCAGGCCUAACACAUGCAAGUCGAGCGAGGACUUCGGUCCUAGCGGCGGACGGGUGAGUAACGCGUGGGAACGUGCCCUUUGGUACGGAAUAGCCCCGGGAAACUGGGAGUAAUACCGUAUGGUGUCUUCGGACUAAAGAUUUAUCGCCAAAGGAUCGGCCCGCGUUGGAUUAGGUAGUUGGUGGGGUAAUGGCCUACCAAGCCGACGAUCCAUAGCUGGUUUGAGAGGAUGAUCAGCCACACUGGGACUGAGACACGGCCCAGACUCCUACGGGAGGCAGCAGUGGGGAAUCUUAGACAAUGGGGGCAACCCUGAUCUAGCCAUGCCGCGUGAGUGAUGAAGGCCCUAGGGUUGUAAAGCUCUUUCAGCUGGGAAGAUAAUGACGGUACCAGCAGAAGAAGCCCCGGCUAACUCCGUG